GGAUGUGAGCUGGCUGUGACAUGUCACCCCACUGGUCACCAAGGUUAAUGUGGCUGAUCUGGCUGGCUAGGCAGGUGUCUCCCUUCCUUCCUCACCACUCCAUGUGACCCCUUCCCAUAGCUGCACUCUUGGUCAAAGACGAUGACCCUUCCCCAAACAGAGGAGGAGUGAUCUUUGGUCAUGUGUUCCCCUGCUAGAACCUUCCAAACAUGCUCUGGAGGUUUUGCCAUUUUAAGUAUAGUUGUUUACAAUACUUAAAGACUGGAAGCCUAAAAUGUCCAAAAUACAAAGUUAUUUGAAGAAGUUGCCAAGUUUCUU
rnacentral:sRNA from 1 species